rnacentral:rRNA from 1 species
UACGUAGGGACCGAGCGUUGUCCGGAUUCAUUGGGCGUAAAGAGCUCGUAGGCGGCUGUUCAAGUCGAACGUGAAAACUCGGAGCUCAACUCCGAGCCUGCGUUCGAGACUGGAUGGCUAGAGUCUGGUAGGGGGGAUCUGGAAUUCCUGGUGUAGCGGUGAAAUGCGCAGAUAUCAGGAGGAACACCGGUGGCGAAGGCGGCUUGCUGAGCCAGUUCUGACGCUGAGGAGCGAAAGCGUGGGGAGCGAACAGG